rnacentral:rRNA from 1 species
UACAGAGGGUGCGAGCGUUGUCCGGAAUCACUGGGCGUAAAGGGCGCGUAGGCGGCCUGAUAAGUAGGGGGUGAAAUCCUGUGGCUUAACUGCAGGGCUGCCUCCUAGACUGUUAGGCUCGAGCACGGUAGAGGCAGAUGGAAUUCCCGGUGUAGCGGUGGAAUGCGUAGAGAUCGGGAAGAACAUCGGUGGCGAAGGCGGUCUGCUGGGCCGUUGCUGACGCUGAGGCGCGACAACGUGGGGAGCAAACAGG